rnacentral:misc_RNA from 1 species
GGUUGAGAAUGCCCAGCAGCUACCUGUACAAAUAGACAAGUAAUUGCGAAUUUGUUAGAUUUUUGUCUUGGAAUAUCAAAUAUGCCUGAAUUUUAUCUAAUAAUUUUUCUGCAAAUUAGAUUGUUCAUUUCAACUUUCAUUUUUGUUCAAAUAAGUCGAUCCAAUUUUUUUCUUUUUUCAGUAUAUAUGAAAUGGUUAAUUAUAUGGGCUGGGCUUAGAUGGUCCUGAAUCCAGACCUAUACUAGCACAAGUUCUACAGACUGUAUAUAUAUGUGGGAAUGGUCCAUGAACAACCAGGAUCUGGGCCCAAACUCAAACAUUAUAUUAUAUGGAUCGAG